rnacentral:rRNA from 1 species
GACGAACGCUGGCGGCGUGCUUAACACAUGCAAGUCGAACGGUGAAGCUCCAGCUUGCUGGCGUGGAUCAGUGGCGAACGGGUGAGUAACACGUGAGCAACCUGCCCCAGACUCUGGAAUAAGCGCUGGAAACGGCGUCUAAUACUGGAUACGAGAUCAAGCCGCAUGGUUAUGGUCUGGAAAGUUGUUCGGUUUGGGAUGGGCUCGCGGCCUAUCAGCUUGUUGGUGAGGUAAUGGCUCACCAAGGCGACGACGGGUAGCCGGCCUGAGAGGGCGACCGGCCACACUGGGACUGAGACACGGCCCAGUCUCCUACGGGAGGCAGCAGUGGGGAAUAUUGCACAAUGGGCGAAAGCCUGAUGCAGCGACGCCGCGUGAGGGAUGACGGCCUUCGGGUUGUAAACCUCUUUCAGCAGGGAAGAAGCGAAAGUGACGGUACCUGCAGAAGAAGCACCGGCUAACUACGUG